rnacentral:rRNA from 1 species
UAGCCUACGGGAGGCAGCAGUGAGGAAUAUUGGUCAAUGGUCGGGAGACUGAACCAGCCAAGCCGCGUGAGGGAGGAAGGUACAGAGUAUCGUAAACCUCUUUUGUCAGGGAGCAAAGUCACCCACGUGUGGGUGUUGGAGAGUACCUGAAGAAAAAGCAUCGGCUAACUCCGUGCCAGCAGCCGCGGUAAUACGGAGGAUGCGAGCGUUAUCCGGAUUUAUUGGGUUUAAAGGGUGCGUAGGCGGGUUAUCAAGUCAGCGGUAAAAUCGUGGAGCUCAACUCCAUCCAGCCGUUGAAACUGAUG